rnacentral:rRNA from 1 species
GGCGCACGGGUGCGUAACGCGUAUGCAACCUACCUCAUACUGGAGGAUAGCCCCUGGAAACGGGGAUUAAUACUCCAUAGUAUCACGAAUUCGCAUGUUUUUGUGAUUAAAGUUUUUCGGUAUGAGAUGGGCAUGCGUCCCAUUAGCUUGUUGGUGAGGUAACGGCUCACCAAGGCAACGAUGGGUAGGGGGCCUGAGGGGGUGGUCCCCCACACUGGUACUGAGACACGGACCAGACUCCUACGGGAGGCAGCAGUGAGGAAUAUUGGUCAAUGGAGGCAACUCUGAACCAGCCAUGCCGCGUGAAGGAUGACGGCCCUAUGGGUUGUAAACUUCUUUUAUAGAGGAAGAAACUUGUCUACGUGUAGACAACUGACGGUACUCUACGAAUAAGGAUCGGCUAACUCCGUGCCAGCAGCCGCGGUAAUACGGAGGAUCCAAGCGUUAUCCGGAUUCAUUGGGUUUAAAGGGUCCGUAGGCGGGUCUUUAAGUCAGUGGUGAAAGCCGACAGCUCAACUGUCGAACUGCCAUUGAUACUGGAGACCUUGAGUACAAAUGAAGUAGGCGGAAUGAGUCAUGUAGCGGUGAAAUGCAUAGAUAUGACUCAGAACACCGAUUGCGAAGGCAGCUUACUAACAUGUAACUGACGCUGAGGGACGAAAGCGUGGGGAGCGAACAGGAUUAGAUACCCUGGUAGUCCACGCCGUAAACGAUCAUCACUCGCUGUUGGCGAUAUACUGUCAGCGGCCAAGCGAAAGUAUUAAGUGAUGCACCUGGGGAGUACGCCGGCAACGGUGAAACUCAAAGGAAUUGACGGGGGCCCGCACAAGCGGUGGAGCAUGUGGUUUAAUUCGAUGCAACGCGAAGAACCUUACCUGGUCUUGACAUCCUGCGAACUUUCUAGAAAUAGAUUGGUGCCUUCGGGAACGCAGUGACAGGUGCUGCAUGGCUGUCGUCAGCUCGUGUCGUGAGAUGUUGGGUUAAGUCCCGUAACGAGCGCAACCCCUAUCCUUAUUUGCCAGCACAUCAUGGUGGGAACUAUAAGGAGACUGCCGGUGAUAAACCGGAGGAAGGCGGGGACGACGUCAAGUCAUCAUGGCCCUACGACCAGGGCUACACACGUGCUACAAUGGGAAGGACAAAGAGCCGCGAAGCCGCGAGGUGUAGCUAAUCUCAUAAACCUUUUCGUAGUCCGGAUUGGAGUCUGCAACUCGACUCCAUGAAGUCGGAAUCGCUAGUAAUCGUAGAUCAGAAUGCUACGGUGAAUACGUUCCCGGGCCUUGUACACACCGCCCGUCAUACCAUGGGAGUGGGUUGCACCAGAAGUGGCUAGUCUAACUUAGUGAGGACGGUCACCACGGUGUGAUUCAUGACUGGGGUAAAGUCGUAACAAGGUAACC